rnacentral:lncRNA from 1 species
GGCUUAUCUCGCGGGUCUAUUGGGCGCGCGGAUGCGGACACAGCUGCAGGAGAUCUCAUAGUAAUGGUUUAUGGAGGAGGUGGCAGUGCCAGGAGCAGUGGCACGGUGAAGAAGCAGGACACAUACCCGCUCACACGCCAUCAAGCUCAGCUACUUCUGUUCGUUUCUCCUGCCAGCAGGCGGCUGGAGCUCCAGUGCAACGUCCAGCUCUUCAAUGCAAUCUGCGCUCUUGCUCAGGAUGAUCUUGUAGUGGUCAAACACAAGAAGGACUUUCAGCCAUGCCUCGUCAAAAAUCUGAUUCAAUUAGGCAAGAAAGACAAACCAGGAGUCUUGCAGAUGCUGGGAUUUGAGCUGGACUUCGUGGACACUGAGCAUGAUAUUUUGUCGAAGAAGACUGCCCCUCUUCCCUUCUUCAGCGCAGCUGACAUUGUCCAGGUGGCUCCAUCACAUUUAAACACCAGGCAACCGCUGAGAGACAGUGGGGAUUUGGGUUUGAAAAGGAAAGCGGUGUGUCGCAUCAAUUCCAUGCCAGCUCUCAACUCACGCAAUGCAAAAAAGCAAAGUAUCUUAUUAAACACGGAUGUGUCCAGCUCCAUUCAGGCCUUGUCCCAUUAUUCUUUGGAGGUGGGGUCUAUGGCAGAGGUCAUAUCUUUGAAUGGACUGACCGUGUAUGGGGUGAUCAGAUGGAUUGGAGUUCCAGAGGGAAAGAAAAAUUGCUGGGCAGGACUUGAGCUGGUGAGCAGCAACAUUUCUUUCUCUCAGUACAAAGCAUGUGCUGAUUAUGUGGUGUUUUGUGC